AACAUAGAAGUAAAAAUAUUACACUUAGUUUCGACCUAAGCAUUAGGGGUUAGAGCCCUCAUGUUU
rnacentral:tRNA from 1 species